UACAGAGACUGCAAGCGUUAUUCGGAUUCACUGGGCGUAAAGGGUGCGCAGGCGGUUGUGUGUGUCAGGUGUGAAAGCCCGGGGCUUAACCCCGGAAUUGCGCCUGAAACUACAUGACUAGAGCAUUGGAGAGGGUAGCGGAAUUCACGGUGUAGCAGUGAAAUGCGUAGAUAUCGUGAGGAACACCAGAGGCGAAGGCGGCUACCUGGACAAUUGCUGACGCUCAGGCACGAAAGCGUGGGGAGCAAACAGG
rnacentral:rRNA from 1 species